GAUGAACGCUGGCGGCGUGCCUAAUACAUGCCAGUCGAGCGAACAGACGAGGAGCUUGCUCCUCUGACGUUAGCGGCGGACGGGUGAGUAACACGUGGAUAACCUACCUAUAAGACUGGGAUAACUUCGGGAAACCGGAGCUAAUACCGGAUAACAUGUUUAACCGCAUGGUUCAACAGUGAAAGACGGUCUUGCUGUCACCUAUAGAUGGAUCCGCGCCGCAUUAGCUAGUUGGUAAGGUAACGGCUUACCAAGGCAACGAUGCGUAGCCGACCUGAGAGGGUGAUCGGCCACACUGGAACUGAGACACGGUCCAGACUCCUACGGGAGGCAGCAGUAGGGAAUCUUCCGCAAUGGGCGAAAGCCUGACGGAGCAACGCCGCGUGAGUGAAGAAGGUCUUCGGAUCGUAAAACUCUGUUAUUAGGGAAGAACAAAUGUGUAAGUAACUAUGCACGUCUUGACGGUACCUAAUCAGAAAGCCACGGCUAACUACGUG
rnacentral:rRNA from 1 species